rnacentral:tRNA from 1 species
GCCGGCUUAGCUCAGGUGGUAGAGCAACUUACUUGUAAUCAGUAGGUCACAAGUUACACUCCGGUAGCCGGCACCA